rnacentral:rRNA from 1 species
AGCGAACGCUGGCGGCAGGCCUAACACAUGCAAGUCGAACGCACCUUCGGGUGAGUGGCGGACGGGUGAGUAACACGUGGGAACGUACCUUUAGGUUCGGAAUAACGCAGGGAAACUUGCGCUAAUACCGAAUGUGCCCUUCGGGGAAGGAUUUAUCGCCUUUAGAGCGGCCCGCGUUAGAUUAGCUAGUUGGUGGGGUAAGUGGCCCACCAAGGCUACGAUCUAUAGCUGGUCUGAGAGGAUGAUCAGCCACACUGGGACUGAGACACGGCCCAGACUCCUACGGGAGGCAGCAGUGGGGAAUCUUGCGCAAUGGGCGGAAAGCCUGACGCAGCCAUGCCGCGUGAAUGAUGAAGGUCUUAGGAUUGUAAAAUUCUUUUAGCAGGGACGAUAAUGACGGUACCUGCAGAAAAA